UGGAUCCAGACUUUGAUCCUGGCUCAGGACGAACGCUGGCGGCGUGCUUAACACAUGCAAGUCGAACGAGAAUCUGUGGAUCGAGGAUUCGUCCAAGUGAAGCAGAGGACAGUGGCGGACGGGUGAGUAACGCGUGAGGAACCUGCCUUUCAGAGGGGGACAACAGUUGGAAACGACUGCUAAUACCGCAUGAUACAUUUGGGUGGCAUCAUCUGAAUGUCAAAGAUUUAUCGCUGAAAGAUGGCCUCGCGUCUGAUUAGCUGGUUGGUGAGGUAACGGCCCACCAAGGCGACGAUCAGUAGCCGGACCGAGAGGUUGACCGGCCACAUUGGGACUGAGAUACGGCCCAGACUCCUACGGGAGGCAGCAGUGGGGAAUAUUGGGCAAUGGGCGCAAGCCUGACCCAGCAACGCCGCGUGAAGGAAGAAGGCUUUCGGGUUGUAAACUUCUUUUAAGAGGGAAGAGCAGAAGACUGUACCUCUAGAAUAAGCCACGGCUAACUACGUGCCAGCAGCCGCGGUAAUACGUAGGUGGCAGGCGUUGUCCGGAUUUACUGGGUGUAAAGGGCGUGCAGCCGGGAAUGCAAGUCAGAUGUGAAAUCCAUGGGCUUAACCCAUGAACUGCAUUUGAAACUGUAUUUCUUGAGUACUGGAGAGGCAAUCGGAAUUCCUAGUGUAGCGGUGAAAUGCGUAGAUAUUAGGAGGAACACCAGUGGCGAAGGCGGAUUGCUGGACAGCAACUGACGGUGAGGCGCGAAAGUGUGGGGAGCAAACAGGAUUAGAUACCCUGGUAGUCCACACUGUAAACGAUGAAUACUAGGUGUGCGGGGACUGACCCCCUGCGUGCCGCAGUUAACACAAUAAGUAUUCCACCUGGGGAGUACGAUCGCAAGGUUGCAACUCAAAUGAAUUGACGGA
rnacentral:rRNA from 1 species